rnacentral:rRNA from 1 species
CAGUCGCCGCGGUAAAACGAAGGGUGCAAGCGUUACUCGGAAUUACUGGGCGUAAAGCGUGCGUAGGUGGUGGUUUAAGUCCGUUGUGAAAGCCCUGGGCUCAACCUGGGAAUUGCAGUGGAUACUGGAUCACUAGAGUGUGGUAGAGGAUAGUGGAAUUUCCGGUGUAGCAGUGAAAUGCGUAGAGAUCGGAAGGAACAUCUGUGGCGAAGGCGACUAUCUGGGCCAACACUGACACUGAGGCACGAAAGCGUGGGGAGCAAACAGGAUUAGAUACCCCUGUAGUCCCUGUCUCUUAUAA